CUCUCUUAAUCGUCUUCUGCUCUCCCCUCAAGUCCUCAACUUCAACCUCAACCUCAACCUCAACCCAUGCCUCUUCUACUCUCUCACUUCUCAUCCUCGAAAUUUCUAGAUCCACUCCAGGCUUGAAGAUUCUGCCCCAAUUUCAAGAAAUAUGACAAAAUGUGAAAGAAAUUUAAAGAAUUUGAGUAUGCCUACCUAUAACCAUGAAAAAGGAAGAGUCGAUCUGGAAUUUCAACAGAAAGAGGAAGAGGAAGGACCACGAACAUUUGUUAGCGCUGGAAGUCUGCCAUUACAUCCGGGAGCAGCACCUCCUGCUGAAGUUCAGAAACCUACAAUCAGGUGCUUGAGGGUGUGUGUGUGAGAGGUGUCAGGCUGUGUGGGCAUGGGUUCAAUGACUCGCAUAUCAUUGCAGGUGUACAAUGGGCUUUCUUUAAGUGAAUGCAGGACCAAGUUCUUACAUAUUCUACUUUAGUUUCAGAAAUUUAGACUAUAAAUUUCUUGUCUAUUUGGUGUUCUUAUUAGAACAAUAGCUCCUUGUUCUAGAUUUCGUGUUGCCCGAAUUGUAUGAUAUCUAUUAGUUAAUAUGGGAUGGAUCAUUUGUU